CAUACAUCGCCAGCGCUGGGGGCAGGGACUGCAGCAUCCCAGCGCUGCUUUCCUGUCCCCGGCCCGGUCACCGCCGUCCAUCUCGGGGUGCAGCAGCCAUCUGCCGGGACCGAGGGUUGGCCUUGGGGUCUGCACUGGUGGUGGCCGGAUGGGAGAGGGGGCUGCGUUUGUAUGGGAUGCACAGGGCCCGUGCUCAGUCCUUGCCAGUUGCAUGCAGGACCCCAUGGGGAUCCAUAGGGAUGUGGCACUGUGGGCAUCACGACCCCACUCUGAUCCCUCUGGGCACAGGUGGAGAAAAAUGGGGAGCCGAGCCCAGCUGGGGACUGCAGCACAACCCCACUCUGGUCCCCGUGGUGGGGUUGGACCCAGCACCACCUCCAGCUUCCUCACCACACUGCUGGCUGCGGGCACCUCCGGAGGAAACGGGAUGGGAAAAGCUGCGCUUGGACAGAGAGAUGCUUUUGUUUCCAUUAUAAACUUCCCUUCCAGUGAGGACGGAGCUCCGAAGCACGCUCUCAGCUCAGGCCCUGCACUCUGCUGGCCUCCAGCAGGACUCAGCCAUCCCCCUCCACACAAAGCUGGCAGCACCCUGUGCUCAUUGCACGGCCAAAAUGGGCACACGUGGCUCAGGGAGGAAGAGGAUUUCAAGGAAAGAUGGGGCUGAGAGCAACGUGUGCUGCUGAGAUGAAAGCCACCAGGAAAGCACAGCUCUGCGCUCUGAUGGCAGGGCAGCUGUGCUGAGAAGCAUUUUCUCCCUUCCACCAAAACACAGCAGAGAUGGUCAGCAGCCCCAACCCUGGGACCCCAUCCCGGUAACCCCCAGAACGGCCCCACUGCUCCUCCAGCCCAGCUCUGAGCUCAGUGUCUCCACACUGGGAGCAGACAGGUCAGGACCGGGGUGCUCCGUCUGGGGGCUCUGCUCCCUGAUGGGCACUGAGCUGGAGCUCGAGAACAAACGCAUGGGGGUCAGUGUGUUCAGGCUCUGAUUCAAUGGGCUCAACUGGGCCAAAGAGAGCAGCCUCGCUGGGCUCAAAACUGAAGAAUUGAAACGCUCUGCAGCCCCUUUGCACCCCGUUCCUGUGUUCCCUGCAGCCCCCAGAUGGCUCCAGCAGCAGCAGCUGCCCGGCGACCGGCCGAAGGCUUCAUCAACUGGCACCCAAAAGUCAAUCAGGAAGAUGCUGCCUGUUUUAAUGAACAGAGAAAAUUCGCACAGAGAUGAUGUGCGCCGGGGGGAGGAGGGAGGCGGGAGACAAAACAUGACCUUGUUGGUGGAGGCACACAGCGGCACAUUGUUUUUUUUUCCACCCCCUGGAGAUGGUGGCCUUGAUGCUGCGGGGUGCAGCUGGGGCUGGGGGCUGGAACCGGGUGCUGGGUGCUGGGGUUGGGGGCUGAGUUUGGGGGCUGGGGUCUCGGGACUGUGAUUGGGUGCUGGGGUUGGGACUGGGAGCUGGGGUUGGGUGCUGGGUCUGUUUCCUGCAUCUUGGUGCCAGGGGCUCUCCCAGUCUCUGGGGGCUCUGGUGCAGCUUUGGUUCAGC
rnacentral:lncRNA from 1 species